rnacentral:tRNA from 1 species
AACUAUAUAUUUUAAAUAAAAUAUUAAAUUGCAAAUUUAAUGAUACAGUAAAUCGUUAUAGUUU